GCACAUUGACUUCUGCUUGCAAAACAGAACUUUUCUUCCCUGUCCUCUCCCUACCUCCUGCAAAUCUGCUCCAGAGAUUUGCAAAUCUACAACAGAUUUGGGGGCUGGCACACAAGGAGAGAAGAGGAAAGAGAAGUUCUGUUUUGCAAGCAGAAGUACUUGU